rnacentral:tRNA from 1 species
GCCUGGGUGGCUCAGUUGGUUAAGCGUCUGACUUCGGCUCAGGUCAUGAUCUCACGGUUCGUGAGUUCGAGCCCCGCGUCGGGCU